GACAGAGGGUGCAAACGGUUGCUCGGAAUCACUGGGCGUAAAGGGCGUGUGAGGCGGAUAGAUAAGUCGGGCGUGAAAUCCCCAGGCUCAACCUGGGAACUGACACUCGAAACUGUUUAUCUUGAGUAUCGGAGAGGAAAGCGGAAUCCUGGUGUAGAGGUGAAAAUUCGUAGAUAUCAGGGUGGAACACCGGGUGGCGAAGGCGGCGACCUGGGUAG
rnacentral:rRNA from 1 species